rnacentral:rRNA from 1 species
AACGGUAACAGGGUGCUUGCACCGCUGACGAGUGGCGAACGGGUGAGUAACGCAUCGGAAUGUACCGUGUAAUGGGGGAUAGCUCGGCGAAAGCCGGAUUAAUACCGCAUACGCCCUGAGGGGGAAAGUGGGGGACCGUAAGGCCUCACGUUAUACGAGCAGCCGAUGUCUGAUUAGCUAGUUGGUGAGGUAAGAGCUCACCAAGGCGACGAUCAGUAGCGGGUCUGAGAGGAUGAUCCGCCACACUGGGACUGAGACACGGCCCAGACUCCUACGGGAGGCAGCAGUGGGGAAUUUUGGACAAUGGGCGCAAGCCUGAUCCAGCCAUGCCGCGUGUCUGAAGAAGGCCUUCGGGUUGUAAAGGACUUUUGUUCGGGAGGAAAUCCCGCUGGUUAAUACCUGGCGGGGAUGACAGUACGGAAGAAUAACACCGGCU